rnacentral:rRNA from 1 species
GAUGAACGCUGGCGGCGUGCCUAAUACAUGCAAGUCGAGCGAACAGAUAAGGAGCUUGCUCCUUUGACGUUAGCGGCGGACGGGUGAGUAACACGUGGAUAACCUACCUAUAAGACUGGGAUAACUUCGGGAAACCGGAGCUAAUACCGGAUAACAUAUUGAACCGCAUGGUUCAAUAGUGAAAGGCGGCUUUGCUGUCACUUAUAGAUGGAUCCGCGCCGUAUUAGCUAGUUGGUAAGGUAACGGCUUACCAAGGCAACGAUACGUAGCCGACCUGAGAGGGUGAUCGGCCACACUGGAACUGAGACACGGUCCAGACUCCUACGGGAGGCAGCAGUAGGGAAUCUUCCGCAAUGGGCGAAAGCCUGACGGAGCAACGCCGCGUGAGUGAUGAAGGUCUUCGGGUCGUAAAACUCUGUUAUCAGGGAAGAACAAAUGUGUAAGUAACUGUGCACAUCUUGACGGUACCUGAUCAGAAAGCCACGGCUAACUACGUG